AACAGGAUUAGAUACCCUGGUAGUCCACGCCGUAAACGAUGUCGACUUGGAGGUUGUUCCCUUGAGGAGUGGCUUCCGGAGCUAACGCGUUAAGUCGACCGCCUGGGGAGUACGGCCGCAAGGUUAAAACUCAAAUGAAUUGACGGGGGCCCGCACAAGCGGUGGAGCAUGUGGUUUAAUUCGAUGCAACGCGAAGAACCUUACCUACUCUUGACAUCCAGCGAACUUUCCAGAGAUGGAUUGGUGCCUUCGGGAACGCUGAGGCAGGUGCUGCAUGGCUGUCGUCAGCUCGUGUUGUGAAAUGUUGGGUUAAGUCCCGCAACGAGCGCAACCCUUAUCCUUUGUUGCCAGCGAUUCGGUCGGGAACUCAAAGGAGACUGCCGGUGAUAAACCGGAGGAAGGUGGGGAUGACGUCAAGUCAUCAUGGCCCUUACGAGUAGGGCUACACACGUGCUACAAUGGCGCAUACAAAGAGAAGCGACCUCGCGAGAGCAAGCGGACCUCACAAAGUGCGUCGUAGUCCGGAUCGGAGUCUGCAACUCGACUCCGUGAAGUCGGAAUCGCUAGUAAUCGUGGAUCAGAAUGCCACGGUGAAUACGUUCCCGGGCCUUGUACACACCGCCCGUCACACCAUGGGAGUGGGUUGCAAAAGAAGUAGGUAGCUUAACCUUCGGGAGGGCGCUUACCACUUUGUGAUUCAUGACUGGGGUGAAGUCGUAACAAGGUAACC
rnacentral:rRNA from 1 species